GCCAGUAUGGUAUAGUGGUUUGUGUUGGACUAGGACCCUGGGAAAUCAGGGUUCGAAUCCCUGGUUGGCC